GGAGAAGCAGUUGAUUCUAUUGAUUCGUGUCUACUACUGUAGUAAUUGAACAGUUCAGCCCCAACUGGAUAAAGAAGUGAUGAAUUAUUGCGAACAGCUCAUAUGAUACAAUUCAGGAUCAAGUGAUGAAGUGACCGAGGUUGAAGGUGUUAAUGAUGUCCAUCUGCCAUUCAAUUAUAAGGAUCCCGAGAGCAUUCUAUCUUGUCUCAAGCUGAAAAGGACCACGUGCUAUAUUAAAAGCUCUUAUAUAUUUGCCUGCAUCCUGCAAAUUCUUUCUGCUGUUGCUGAAGGGAAUUCAACACUCCGGAAUUUGAUAACAUCUACAAACGAUACCUUGCAACUCGUGCCAAGUUAUUUGAAUUCAGCGAAUAUAUCUGAUUGCAGCAUUCAAAGAUUUAUUUUUGAAAAGUUGUUUUGGUCACAGAAAUCAACUUCGAGAUCGUAAUAAUAGGGUUGAGUAUAAAAUCAGCUUGUCUGAUCAUAUCGUUCAUACUUGGCAAAAAUGCAUGAGUAAAAAGCCCAGUUUCAUAGAAAAAUACUGGUGCAGCUGUGACCUCACUGGAGGUGUUUGUCUCCUUCAAUCUGCUAGUGUGAACCUUUUGCGGAGUAAUUUUCAAGGUCUAGAGAAGGUCUUGGAUGUUCAUAAGAGGUGAAAUGUCCUAAGUGCCUGCCAAAUAAGCCCACUGAGUCAAAGUCCAAAAGAAUUUGUUUUCAAAGAUCGUCACGGGUUGAGCAGCGUUGUUGUGCAAAACUCCGACGGUGUGCAUGUGGUAUUUUGUAUGUGGAUGGAUGGAACUUGGACAUUGCAGUCGAAGCUUUUGCAGCCCAACUAAAAUAAUCCUGAAUCAACCAUCAAUCAAGCCCACGAGGCACUUUACGUAAUUCUCGAGGAGCUUGCGGAGUUAAAAAAAAUUCUAUAUUAUGCGGAUCAAUAGAAACUAAAGAUUGAAUUAAACUUUAGGUUCAAUUUCGAAAAGAUUUUUGAUAUAUUUUUUGAGCUUUUCUUAACAUUCUUAAUCUCGAUCCCAUGAUAAAAUAUCCGCGAACGUUAGUCUUCUUCUAUUAGAACCCUGACUAUCAGCCCAAGAUAUACCGAACCUGAAACGCAAGUCCUGUGACACCUGGAGCACACGUGAGCAGGUUUGUCUGCUCUCAACUAUGUUGAAGUCAGGGGAUGUUUUCACUCAACUUAGUCAAAUGAAUUGUUUCUUCUUGUUAUUCCCUUUUUUUAAUAAUUGAAAUAAAUUAGACAACACAGUUUUUUGAUUACACAAAUGCUCACGUAUAUUUAAUUCACUCAAGGUAAAAUAAUAGUUUUAUCUGCUUAAAUUAUUGAAUUGAUGGACUGGUUGUCCUGUGGAAUACUACUACUCGAAAGGUA